rnacentral:rRNA from 1 species
UACGUAGGGGGCAAGCGUUGUCCGGAUUUAUUGGGCGUAAAGAGCGUGUAGGCGGCCAGACAGGUCCGUUGUGAAAACUCGAGGCUCAACCUCGAGACGCCGAUGGAAACCGUCUGGCUAGAGUCCGGAAGAGGAGAGUGGAAUUCCUGGUGUAGCGGUGAAAUGCGUAGAUAUCAGGAAGAACACCCGUGGCUAAGGCGGCUCUCUGGGCCGAUUCUGACACUGAGGAGCGAAAGCGUGGGGAGCGAACAGG